rnacentral:rRNA from 1 species
GACGAACGCUGGCGGCGUGCCUAAUACAUGCAAGUAGAACGCUGAAGGAGGAGCUUGCUUCUCUGGAUGAGUUGCGAACGGGUGAGUAACGCGUAGGUAACCUGCCUGGUAGCGGGGGAUAACUAUUGGAAACGAUAGCUAAUACCGCAUAAUAGUAGAUGUUGCAUGACAUUUGCUUAAAAGGUGCAAUUGCAUCACUACCAGAUGGACCUGCGUUGUAUUAGCUAGUUGGUGAGGUAACGGCUCACCAAGGCGACGAUACAUAGCCGACCUGAGAGGGUGAUCGGCCACACUGGGACUGAGACACGGCCCAGACUCCUACGGGAGGCAGCAGUAGGGAAUCUUCGGCAAUGGACGGAAGUCUGACCGAGCAACGCCGCGUGAGUGAAGAAGGUUUUCGGAUCGUAAAGCUCUGUUGUAAGAGAAGAACGAGUGUGAGAGUGGAAAGUUCACACUGGACGGUAUCU